rnacentral:misc_RNA from 1 species
GAUGAAGAACGUAGCGAAAUGCGAUAAGUAAUGUGAAUUGCAGAAUUCAGUGAAUCAUCGAAUCUUUGAACGCACAUUGCGCCCGCCAGUAUUCUGGCGGGCAUGCCUGUCUGAGCGUCAUUUCAACCCUCAUGCCCCUAGGGCGUGGUGUUGGGGAUCGGCCAAAGCCCGCGAGGGACGGCCGGCCCCUAAAUCUAGUGGCGGACCCGUCGUGGCCUCCUCUGCGAAGUAGUGAUAUUCCGCAUCAGAGAGCGACGAGCCCCUGCCGUUAAACCCCCAACUUUCCAAGGUUGACCUCAGAUCAGGUAGGAAUACCCGCUGAACUUAAGCAUAUCAAUAAGCGGAGGA